GUUUGAAUUACCCGAUAUAUAGCCAUUAACAUGUUUGAUGAUGGCACAGAUAUUUCAUGUAUUUGUCCACCACACAGCAAAGAAACAACAGCGAAAAAACACAAUUACCCACGAGACAAACUUACUAGUGUAAAGUAAGCCGUCGAUAACAGUCGGUGCUGAUAUUCACGAGUACAUCAAUUUUCGAAAGAUAAUUAAAGGCAAAUGUGUGAUCCUUGAAUUUUUGUGUUCGUAAAAAAGGCGAAGAAAUAUUUACAUACAUGACAGUGUAAACAAAAUCUAUAAGACUUAGUAUUUAUUUUUGUCACACUUCAGUAUAUUGGACUUCCAAACUGUUCCCUUUGUUUUGAAGGUAGUGAAGUCAGCAACUGUAGUUUCAUUUUGUUCGUUUUCUAACGGGCUCUGACAUUUGCCAAACUGAAUAAAAUCAUUACAGCUGAUUUCUUAUACCUGCAAAGUAAAACUUUGGUUGACUUGCUUGCUUUGUUUGUAAAGUUGUUUAUAGAAG
rnacentral:lncRNA from 1 species